UACGGGGGGAGCAAGCGUUGUUCGGAUUUACUGGGCGUAAAGGGCGCGUAGGCGGCCACCGCAAGUCAGUUGGGAAAUCUCUGGGCUUAACCCAGAAAGGUCAACUGAUACUGCGGGGCUAGAGUGCAGAAGGGGCAACUGGAAUUCUCGGUGUAGCGGUGAAAUGCGUAGAUAUCGAGAGGAACACCUGCGGCGAAGGCGGGUUGCUGGGCUGACACUGACGCUGAGGCGCGAAAGCUAGGGGAGCGAACGGG
rnacentral:rRNA from 1 species